GCACCGCGAGAGAGGAAGUAACCAGCACGAGGAGAAACUUUACAGAUUCAAGUAUGGCAGUGCUUUAACUAUACUUACUGCAUGGAAACUCCCCGCCUUGAAUUUAGAGGUCCCCACCCUUUGCUUUCCCGGGAAAAGAAGGAAUUGUGAACCUGCUGGCUGGCUGCUGGGGAACUCGGCGUGUCUGUUUGCUCCUCGCAGCUCACGGCAAAAAGGGGGACGGAGACGUUUUGGGGAAGUUUUCAUCUUUUCCUGUCCCAGCCCACAUCCGUUUCUGGUAAUGUUGAAGAUGGUUUCUGAAUGUCCAUGAGAUGGGUAGACACAGCCUUUUUGGAGUGCCUGGAAGUUGGAGCUGCCAGGAGUAGAUACAGCCAUCAUGGUCCUUACUCCAGCUGGUGGCUGGGGAGGAACAGCAUGAACAGAGACUUCCCCAGGGAAUGAAGAUCUUGUUUUCAUGACAGCUUCUUUGAAUGUUUUUUUGAAAAAUACAUAAAAAGGAAGGGAGUAUAAUUAUCCAGAAAUCUGGCUAAGCAUAAUUGCUAUUCAGAGCAUCCCAGGAGGCCUAAAAAGGCCUUGGAGGGCAGCAUAUUUAACCCAGACCAGAAACACUGAAUAUGUGCGAAUAUUCUAUAAACCACAGGUUUCACCCAGUCAGGUGUUUCAUUCUGUGAGAUUUUUUUGGCUAAGAAUUAGGUGAGAAUCAGAUGCGACGUGGACAGAAACAGAUAGAACCUGCCACAGGAAACUUGCACACGUGCGAUUUUUAAGUCAGUCUCUUAGUUAUUUAUAUAUAUCUGGCCUUACAGGUGUAUAAUCACCCGUUUGAAAUCCUUGAACUGUUUGGGUCCCAGGCACAGCUGUGUCAUUUGGAAGCUUCUGUUUUGCAUUUCACUAUUCAGUUACAUGUGGUUUCACUCCAAAAGAGAUUCCCACAGAUCUGUGUAAGUUUUAGAUGCUUCUGAGAGCUGUGACCAAAGAUGGACCUGAUCAGGAAAGGAGAUACUAAAAUACAGUGAUCACUGGUCUUCCCUCUUUAGCUCAUGCUUCAUCACCUCAGCUUCUUAGAAAUAGCAUUGCUGAAUAUUAAACAUGUGGAUUUAAGCCCGACAGCGGGUUCACUUUGUGAUAGGAGGGAAAUAUGAAGAGCUUUCCUCCUCCAGCCUGUGAGACCAACCUUGGCCAGCCGCAGACAGUCACAGCUGCGCAACAACUCCUGAUACCAUCAGCCUUGCAAGCUUUGCAUUAAACCUCCACGUGAAAGCACUUCACAGAAGGUAUGUGCAUAUAUCACAUGGAUGACUUAAUAACCA
rnacentral:lncRNA from 1 species